AAGAAAGUGACAGAUCGGUUAUGUAAUUGGCUUGAAACCAAAUUAUGGGGGUUCAAUUCCUUCCUUUCUCG
ensembl:Mt_tRNA